rnacentral:tRNA from 1 species
CCUUGGUUAGCUAAGUUGGUAAAGUAGACCACUAAAAAUGUACUGGUCUCGGGUUCGAUACCCGGACCAGGCU